GCAUUACUGGUUUUCGGAAAAAAGUCAGUUAUAUUCUCGGAUAGGGCGGGCAUCACGUGCAAAACAUACAACUCCUCACACAACAGGCUCUAUGUCUUUUGCUAGGAAAAGACAAGAAUUUGAAGAGAAAAAUCAAAGAGAACCUAGACGUAUUGAAUUUUUUGCAGUUACUCACAAAUCAAAAGAUGGGAGUUAUAUUAAUACUGCAGCAAGUAACUU